UUCUCUAGGAACCCUUAGGCUGCUGUGACCAUGCUUCAGCCCUCCACCAUCCCUGGGUCCCUGGGAGCUGCCCAGGUCUGGGGAAGAUAAGGCCCAGUGUGGGCAGUGUUCUGCUGCAGAUAAUGGCCUGGGCAUGCUGGAUUUGGGGGUCUCACCAUCUUGGGGCCCACGCCUCUGAUUUGCUUGGGAAUGGAAGAUGUUUGAGGACUGUCCAGUGCGUCUCCCUGCGUGGUGGGUGAGUCUUGGAGGCCUGGUGUCUUGAUGAAUAGUUUCAAGGAAGACCCACAGCAGGCACAGGUGGAAGUGGCCCAGAAAAGAGGGACAGAUCCUGUUUAACUCCCUACUGUGUGUCAAAGGCUGUGUGAGGAGCUUUAUGCAGAUCAUUUCAUUCUCUCGGCAACACGGUCAAGAAUUAGAAGUGUCCUGUUCUGGACUUGGACAAAGAAUGGACUUCUCUAUCAGCAUGGUGUCCUUUGAGUACUCCACAGCACUAUGUACAGGACAUGUUACUCUACUACUCUGCAACUUGGAUAUUCUAAGAGAUGAGUUUAAUCCAUUUACAUUUAUUGUGACUCCUAGGAAUUAUUUUCUGUUUCGUUCCCUACAUGUAAUUCCUGGGUAUCCAUGGGCAUUUGAUUCCAGGAGUGCCAUAGAUGCCAAAAUCUGAGGAUGCUGAAGACCCUUUUAUAAAAUGGCCUAGUAUUUGCAGAUAACUCA